rnacentral:rRNA from 1 species
AUAUCAAUAAGCGGAGGAAAAGAAACCAACAGGGAUUGCCCCAGUAACGGCGAGUGAAGCGGCAACAGCUCAAAUUUGAAAUCUGGCCCCAGGCCCGAGUUGUAAUUUGCAGAGGAUGCUUCGGGCGCGGUGCCUUCCAAGUCCCCUGGAACGGGGCGCCAUGGAGGGUGAGAGCCCCGUAUGGUCGGACACCAAGCCUAUGUGAAGCUCCUUCGACGAGUCGAGUAGUUUGGGAAUGCUGCUCUAAAUGGGAGGUAGACCCCUUCUAAAGCUAAAUACCGGCUAGAGACCGAUAGCGCACAAGUAGAGUGAUCGAAAGAUGAAAAGAACUUUGAAAAGAGGGUUAAACAGCACGUGAAAUUGUUAAAAGGGAAGCGCUUGUGACCAGACUUGCGCCGGGGCGAUCAUCUGGCGUUCUCGCCGGUGCACUCGCCCCGGCCCAGGCCAGCGUCGGUUCGGGAGGGGGGACAAGGACGUUGGGGACGUGGCUCCCCCGGGAGUGUUACAGCCCAGCGUGUCAUGCCCCCGCCCGGACCGAGGUUCGCGCUCUGCAAGGACGCUGGCGUAAUGGUCAUCAGCGGCCCGUCUUGAAACACGGACCAAGGAGUCGAGGUUCUGCGCGAGUGUUUGGGUGCCAAACCCGCACGCGUAAUGAAAGUGAACGUAGGUGGGAGCCUCGGCGCACCACCGACCGAUCCUGAUGUUUUCGGAUGGAUUUGAGUACGAGCGUUGGGCCUCGGACCCGAAAGAUGGUGAACUAUGCUUGGAUAGGGUGAAGCCAGAGGAAACUCUGGUGGAGGCUCGCAGCGGUUCUGACGUGCAAAUCGAUCGUCAAAUCUGAGCAUGGGGGCGAAAGACUAAUCGAACCAUCUAGUAGCUGGUUACCGCCGAAGUUUCCCUCAGGAUAGCAGUGUUGUUUUCAGUUUUAUGAGGUAAAGCGAAUGAUUAGGGACUCGGGGGCGCUAUUUAGCCUUCAUCCAUUCUCAAACUUUAAAUAUGUAAGAAGCCCUUGUUGCUUAAUUGAACGUGGGCAUUCGAAUGUAUCAACACUAGUGGGCCAUUUU